CCCUUAGAUGUUCUGGGCCGCACGCGCGCUACAAUGAUGAAUUCAACGAGCUUAUAACCUUGGUUGAAAAGCCUGGGUAAUCUUUUGAACUUUCGUCGUGAUGGGGCUGGACCCUUGCAAUUUUUGGUCUCCAACGAGGAAUUCCUAGUAAACGCAAGUCAUCAACUUGCAUUGAUUACGUCCCUGCCCUUUGUACACACCGCCCGUCGCACCUACCGAUUGAAUGGUCCGGUGAAAUCUUAGGACUGCGACUUUGUCUCGUUCAUUCAAGACGCUGUCGCGGGAAUUUGAUUAAACCUUACCAUUUAGAGGAAGGUGAAGUCGUAACA
rnacentral:rRNA from 1 species